CUGGAGAUUGCUCACUCAUCACUUCUGCGGCUGCUUCUGUGGUUCUCUGGGGCCUCUCCACACCUGCCAGGCUGGCUGCUCUUCAUGGCUGGUGCUGCCAUGGGCCAACCCCAGGAUGGCAUGCUUUGACCCUCAGAAUUCCCGUCUAAGAAGUGCUAUCAGAGCAUGUGUGUAUGCUCUCACUGCGGCAGCCAGCAGAGGUGGGUUCCGUCCCAGCCGACUCAUCUACCACGCUUCCUGCAAGAUGGAUUCAACUCAGCAUAUUUGCAAUCACUGGCCAAAGACCAAGGAGACAGCCCUGGGGAUUUCUUCCUGGGACACUUCUCAAGGAAAACUCAGUUCCUUAGAUAGAACAGCAGAUUUAUUUUGAACCAACUGUCAGCUAUAAUUGAACUAGGAGACUACCCUUUUUCCUGUAAUUUAGAGUAUUUAAAAGAAAUACACAAUAAUAACUACAUCCAACACUUACGUAGCACUUACUGGCCACCACUAUUCUGACUAUUUUACUUUUAUUAACUCAUUUAAUCUUAACAACCCUAUGAAGCCCAUACUGCUAUUAUCGUCAUUCUCAUUUAACAGAUAAGGAAACUGAAGGACAAUGAUGUUAAAUAACUUGUCCAAGACUACACAGCAAGUAAGAAGCAGAGCCUGAGAUCGAGCCUAGGCAGUCUGGCUCCAGUUUGUGCCUUUAUUUCCCUGUGCCACCAUCUACAAGUUAAGAAGUGCCUUUUUAAUUUUUGGCCAAUGUUUUUGAUGGGACUGCAAGUAUGUAGAAUUUAAUGACUAUUUUAUUUAAUAAAAUUAUGUAUAAUACUUGACUUUGAUACUAAGUCAAUUUGUACUUUUUCAGGACUUCUAAGUUGUUAGUUCUUUGAUAAAAUGAUUAUAGGAUUACAAUACAUUUUAUUUUGUGAAUAAAGAAUGAGAAACAGGCUGGGCACAGUAACUCAUGUGUAUAAUCCUAGCACUUUGGGAGGCCAAGACUAAUGGAUUGCUUUGAGCUCAAGAGUUUGAGACCAGCCUGGGCAACGUGGCAAAACUUCAUCUCUACAGAAAAUACAAAAUUAGCCGGGUGUGGUGGCACGUGGCUGUGGUCCCAGCUACUUGGUAGGCUGAGGCUGGAGAAUUGCUUGAACCCAGGAGGUGGAGGUUGCGUUGAACCGAGAUCACGCCACUGCGCUCCAGCCUGGGUGACAGACCAAAACCC
rnacentral:lncRNA from 10 species